GCCCGGAUGGUCUAGUGGUAUGAUUCUCCCUUCGGGUGUAACAAUCCUGGUGCAAAACCUAAAUGGGAGAGGUCCCGCGUUCGAAUCGCGGUUCGGGCC